ACUGGACACAGUGGUGUGCACCUGUAGUCCCAACUACUCAGGAGGCUGAGGCGGGAGGAUCACUUGAGUCCAGGAGUUCUGGGCUGUAGUGCGCUAUGCCAAUCAGGCGUCCGCACUAAGUUCGACAAUAUGGUGACGUCCUGGGCGUGGGGGACCACCAGGUUGCCUAAGGAGAAGUGAACUGGCCCAGGUCAGAAACGGAGCAGGUCAAAACUCCGGUGCGGAUCUGUGGUUGGAUUGCACCUAUGAAUAGCCACUGCACUCCAGCCUGGGCAACAUAGCAAGACCCCGUCUCU
rnacentral:SRP_RNA from 1 species